ensembl:processed_transcript
GGGACAUAUUUCUUCCUGUUUUUUCCCUGGUAAGUACGAUUAAUAAAACAUAUAACAAUAUUUUAGUUAAAAGACUGCUUUAUUACCUUUUUAUCGUUAUUUAAAAUGAUUUUUGUCUAGUAUGAAGCGCCCAUGGAAAGUACAGCAGUGAAUUACGUUUAAUAUUGUUAAUAAGAUCAGACUUUAUUUCAUUAAGAUCAAACUGAGCUAUGAGUGGUUAAAUGUAACUUAAACAAGCAUUUACCUAAUGAUUUUUUACCUUUUUAUGCGUUUUCCUCAACAGUAAAUAUGAUAUCUGUUCAUUUACAGUUGUUUGUCCGUAUUUUUCUAAACUGCCGUGCGCGGGAAGUGACGUGACGUCCCAAUCACCCACUCACUCCUUCUGCACCUGCGUGAGUCUGACUGGAUUAACGGUAAACGUCAGCUUUUCAGUGAGAGUGUAAAAGGUAUGUUAAUUAUUUAAUAGAAAUAUAAAUGUUUUCUUUGUACAGUGCAUUGAACAAGGGAUAGCAUUCAAAGUUUGUGACACUGUGUAGUUUGGUUGAUAUACGUUAACGUUACCUUUAAUGAAUACUAACGUUAACGUGUUUCAAACGUAACACCUGACCGCCUGUGUUUGUUUGCAUAUUAAUAACUAAUUUCAUAUUUUUACUGACGUUUUCAAAUGUUAGCUUUAAUUUGACCGACGUAUUAAGGCUGUGUGACCGAGUUUCAGUGGAACAGCUUUGCUGGUUUUUAAGUAAGUUAUAAGUUAGACUCGCGUGAAUUGGAGGCAUUUGUAACUCGGUAUGAGGGGAAAUACACACUCGUAAAGUUAUUUUUAGUGGUGGGCCGUUAUCAGCAUUAACGUGCUGCUUUAACGCGAGACUUAUCGCGCGAUAAAAAAAAAUAUAUCGCCGUUAAUCUAUUCUCAACGUUGGGUUGGGAGCUGGGUGACUUUCAUACUUUGAUAUUUUAGCGCGGAUGUAUACCUGACCGGUGAGCCGUCUGACAAACAAGUGCCCUUAUGAAUCCAAUCAGCAGGAUGCCUGACUUUAACUGCAGUUCGGCAGUUUCACUUUAACUCACUAACAUUUCAUUCAUCCCGCGUGACAAACUGGGGUAAUAGACGCAAAUAAGAAACAAGAACUGAUGAGAGUGUUAUGGAAUUUAAUAACGCUCGCCAAAUGGAACGAAAAAAAACUUCCGCAUUUCGCGACGUGUGUUUGUGUGUACAGAGAUAAUAACAGUGAUGCAGUAAGUGUGUGACACUUAAAAGUAUUUAUAGUGUUUACACUGUCAUGCGUUUUCGUCCUCAAAUACAACGUGUACCUUAAAGCACACAAUUAAAUGUUUGUUGUAGUCGAGUUGAACUGUCAUGGAUAUUUAUUUAUUCACUUUUAAGAACCUCAAGGGCAGCUAAUAUGAAGAUAUAAAGAUGAGUUGUUCUUCCACAGUCUUAAAAUUCUUCAAACUAAUUGUCAGUUCGAUUCAUUAUAGCAAAUAAUACUUUCUUUACUAUUAGGAGAUCAGGAGUUUUAUUUUAAUGAAACCUUGAUGAUAGAGUGAACUACACAUAGUGUUAUCGCAAAUGAAAUCUUUUUAUGUAGAUUUUGAGUCUGAGUUUUUUUGCACAUAUAAGGUUCACUGAUAUUUUGCUUUGUUCACUUUCAGGUUCUUUCAUUUUGGUUAUAAGUACAUGUUAUAGGUGUGUUGGUGUAAAAAUUGAUGCUGACUGGUGUGUUGGUGUAAAAAGUGAUGCUGACUGAACUCAGGCAGUUGUGCUGGACCCUCUGUACCUUAUACAGGAGAUGACUGUAAACUUUGAAGUUUAAGAGGUUCUGUAAUUUUGGUUAUAAGUACAAGAACUCAGGCAGUUGUGCUGGACCAUCUGUACUUAAUACAGGGAAUGACAGUAAACUUCCACGUUUAAGAGCCACCUGAUGAUGAGAGAGACAAUUUCAAUGUGGGCAUCUUGAUGAAGAAAAGUCCACAGUCACAAUAACAAGAUCAUUGGGCUGUCCCCUAAUUGUGGUGAGCUACAUGUUUAGUCUCUUAUGUGCUAAACAUUAUGUAGCCUAAGGAAGCAGCCCUGACUCUGGAGUUUAUAUGAAGGAGCGUGCUGAGUAACUAUCCAAAAUGUAGGUCCAAAGCAGAAAAAAGAGCACCAAGCAGAAACAUACCAUCUAAACUCCUUCGAUUCCUGUCAGACCAGAAAGACUUUCAGAAACCUUGGAAGAUUUAAAGCCAUUGAAGUAUCAGUAUUGGAGCGAAAGAAGACCCUGUUUUAUCGUCAGUUUCCUGCCAUCUUGCAGUUAACCUGGUUUCUUAAUGUAAAGUACUUGUAAUUUGCCCACUUGUCCUCAAUUAUCUUAAAAGCUAACAUUUAAAACUAAUUUGCUAUGAGAUUAUUUGCCAAGACUUCUCACUGUGUGAUUCACAUGUCAAUAUGUAUUAUUGUGUGUAUAACUAGCUAUUUGGAAUUCAAAUGAUUUGUAUUCAUUAAAGAAUCUGUUUUAAU